rnacentral:rRNA from 1 species
UACGGAGGGUGCAAGCGUUAUCCGGAUUCACUGGGUUUAAAGGGUGCGUAGGCGGACAGGUAAGUCCGUGGUGAAAUCUCUGAGCUUAACUCAGAAACUGCCAUGGAUACUAUUUGUCUUGAAUAUUGUGGAGGUGAGCGGAACAUGUCAUGUAGCGGUGAAAUGCUUAGAUAUGACAUAGAACACCAAUUGCGAAGGCAGCUCACUACACAAUUAUUGACGCUGAGGCACGAAAGCGUGGGGAUCAAACAGG